rnacentral:rRNA from 1 species
GAUGAACGCUGGCGGCGUGCCUAAUACAUGCAAGUCGAGCGAACGGACGUGAAGCUUGCUUUUCUGAUGUUAGCGGCGGACGGGUGAGUAACACGUGGAUAACCUACCUAUAAGACUGGGAUAACUUCGGGAAACCGGAGCUAAUACCGGAUAAUAUUUUGAACCGCAUGGUUCAAAAGUGAAAGACGGUCUUGCUGUCACUUAUAGAUGGAUCCGCGCUGCAUUAGCUAGUUGGUAAGGUAACGGCUUACCAAGGCAACGAUGCAUAGCCGACCUGAGAGGGUGAUCGGCCACACUGGAACUGACACACGGUCCAGACUCCUACGGGAGGCAGCAGUAGGGAAUCUUCCGCAAUGGGCGAAAGCCUGACGGAGCAACGCCGCGUGAGUGAUGAAGGUCUUCGGAUCGUAAAACUCUGUUAUUAGGGAAGAACAUAUGUGUAAGUAACUGUGCACAUCUUGACGGUACCUAAUCAGAAAGCCACGGCUAACUACGUG